rnacentral:rRNA from 1 species
CCUACGGGUGGCAGCAGUGGGGAAUAUUGCACAAUGGGGGAAACACUGAUGCAGCGACGCCGCGUGAGUGAAGAAGUAUUUCGGUAUGUAAAGCUCUAUCAGCAGGGAAACAAAUGACGGUACCUGUUUAAGAAGCACCGGAUAACUACGAGACAGCAGCCGCGGUAAUACGUAGGGGGCAAGCGUUAUCCGGAUUUACUGGGGGUAAAGGGAGCGUAGACGGCAGCACAAGUCUGGAGUGAAAUGCCGGGGCUUAACCCCGGAACUGCUUUGGAAACUGUGCAGCUAGAGUGCAGGAGAGGUAAGUGGAAUGCCUAGUGUAGCGGUGAAAUGCGUAGAUAUUAGGAGGAACUCCAGUGGCGAAGGCGGCUUACUGGACUGAAACUGACGUUGAGGCUCGAAAGCGUGGGGAGCAAACAGGAUUAGAUACCCCGGUAGUC